GUCAGCAUUAGGGUUUUAAACGCUAAACUGAACUUUUCCAUUUAGUCAGCAUUAGGGUUUUAAACCCUAAACUGAACUAUUCCCACUUAAUCAGGAUUAGGGUUUUUAAACCAUAAACUGAACUCUUUCCUUCAGUCAGCAUUAGGGUUUUAAACCCUGAACUGAACUUUUUCCCAUUUAGUCAGCAUUAAGGUUUUAAACCCUAAACUGAACUCUUUCCUUCAGUCAGCAUUAGGGUUUUAAACCCUAAACUGAACUUUUUUCCUUUAAUCGGCAUUAGGGUUUUAAACCCUAAACUGAACUUUUUCCUUUAGUCAGCAUUAAGGUUUUAAACCCUAAAUUGAACAUUUCCAUUCAGCCAGCAUUAGGGUUUUAAACCCUAAACUGAACUUUUUCCUUUAGUCAGCAUUAGGGUUUUAAACCCUAAACUGAACUUUUUCCUUUAGUCAGCAUUAGGGUUUUAAAUCCUAAACUGAACUUUUUCCUUUAGUCAGCAUUAGGGUUUUAAACCCUAAACUGAACUUUUCCAUUCAGUCAGUAUUAGGGGUUUAAACUCUAAACUGAACUUUUCCAUUUAGUCAGCAUUAGGGUUUUAAACCC
rnacentral:lncRNA from 1 species